GACAGAGGGUGCGAACGUUGUUCGGAAUUACUGGGCGUAAAGCGCAUGUAGGCGGCAGCGCAAGUCGGGCGUGAAAUCCCACGGCUCAACCGUGGAAGUGCACUCGAAACUGCGCAGCUAGAGUCCUGGAGAGGAAGGUGGAAUUCCGCGUGUAGCAGUGAAAUGCGUAGAGAUGCGGAGGAACACCGAUGGCGAAGGCAGCCCCCUGGGCUAGCACUGACGCUCAGGCACGAAAGCGUGGGGAGCAAACAGG
rnacentral:rRNA from 1 species